AACGAACGCUGGCGGCAUGCCUAACACAUGCAAGUCGAACGAGACCUUCGGGUCUAGUUGCGCACGGGUGCGUAACGCGUGGGAACCUGCCCUUAGGUUCGGAAUAACUCCCCGUAAGGGGUGCUAAUACCGGAUAAUGUCUUCGGACCAAAGAUUUAUCGCCUUUGGGUGGGCCCGCGUUGGUUUAGCUAGUUGGUAGGGUAAAAGCCUACCAAGGCGACGAUCCAUAGCUGGUCUGAGAGGAUGAUCAGCCACACUGGGACUGAGACACGGCCCAGAAUCCUACGGGAGGCAGCAGUGGGGAAUAUUGGACAAUGGGCGAAAGCCUAAUACAGCAAUGCCGCGUGAGUGAUGAAGGCCUUAGGGUUGUAAAGCUCUUUUACCCGGGAUGAUAAUGACAGUACCGGGAGAAUAAGCUCCGGCUAACUCCGUG
rnacentral:rRNA from 1 species